rnacentral:lncRNA from 1 species
CGGGGCUGGAAGUUGUUAUCUGUGCUGAGCGAGUACUUCCACCUUCUUGCGGUUGUUCUCUGAUAAGCUCCAAUUCUGAGAAAAGGUUUUCGAGGCCACCGGAAGUACAGAGUAUGGAUGCACGUUAUGCAAAACACAUUUUUCAGCCCCACCCCACCACCACCCCUGCAGCCUCUACCCUCAGGAAAAGUGAGUACGGAACCACCUGACUCAGCCCACUCCAGUUCUGUGGAAACCUUCACAUGGAGUUUACACCUGCCAGCUCUAUGACCUCAAAGUCCAUCUCAUGCCUGUGAGGUUUAUUGUGACUGUUUUAAUUUUUCUUUCUGUUUAAUUUUUUAAAAAGACUUUAUGUGGGCUGGAGAGAUGGCUCAGCAGUUAAGAGCACUGACUGUUCUUCCGGAGGUCCUGAGUUCAAUUCCCAGCAACCACAUGGUGGCUCACAGCCUUCUGUAAUGAGAUCAGACGCCCUCUUUUGGUGUGUCUGAAGACAGUUACAGUGUACUUACAUAUAAUAAUAAAUAGAUCUUUGGGCCAGAGCGGGUGGGGCCAGAGCGAGCAGAGGUCCUGAAGUUCAAUUCCCAGUAACCACAUGAUGGCUCACAACCAUUUGUACAGCUACAGUGUACUCCUAUACAUAAAAAAGAGACUUUAUGUAUUUAUUUUGUGUGAGACAGUGUCUAAUGCAGGUAGGAACACAAAUGUCAGAAAACAGCUUUCAUGAAUUGAUUUGUUCCCUUCCACUGUGUGGGUCCUGGUGGCGGAACCUGGCUUUGCCUGUGUGCAUCACCUUUUCAUUUAAUUGAUUGAUUGAAUGUUUUUAAAAUUUUUUCCAGACAGGGUUUCUCAGUAUAGUCCUGGUUGUCCUCUGUAGACCAGGCUAGCUUUGAACUUAAAAAGCCACUAGAUUCAACUUUGAGUCAUCUUCUUGGUCC